GCAGCUUCACCCUCAUCCCAUUGAGGGCUCCAUAUUGGCUCCAACCCCCAUCCCGACAGCCCCCUCGCGUCUCGGCGACGAUUGGCGGAAAGACGCAUCAAUCUCGUCGCAAGCUGUGAUUGAAGAAAAGCUGGUCGAUCCUCCUCCUUCCGGAACUGUGAUUGGAGGCAGCCGACUAUUUUUUGCCCGCCCCCAGCUGUGGGCGGGGCCGAGCUUGUAGGGCAUUGCCUUCCGCCCACUGCCCGGGUCAACCCUGGGACAGGUCAGAGCUCCAGAGAUGGCAGUCACGUGUAUUUGGGAAAAGUUUAUCCUGGUGAUUCUGCUGCACUCGGCGUGCUCAGCGAUUGAGUACCGCUAGUGUGGAGGUCCUGUACAGCUUAUGGAGGCCGCCGUAGGGAUCCUUCUUCCCCCAGAUGCCUUUUCACCGCAGCCAGGGUGACUUGCCUAAGGCUUCCACCGCGCAGCUGCUGCGCCUCUGUUAAAUGCUUAUUUAUUU